UAUGUGAUCGUCUCUCGCAUAUCAAUAAGCGGAGGAAAAGAAACUAACAAGGAUUCCCCUAGUAACGGCGAGUGAAGCGGGAAGAGCUCAAAUUUGAAAUCUUAAAGGGUUUCCCUUUACGAAUUGUAGUUUAAAGAAGUGUUUUCUGUUGAGGUUUUGGUAAAAGUUCUUUGGAAUAGGACAUCAUAGAGGGUGAGAAUCCCGUAUUUGACCUUUACUUUCAACUUUGUGAUACACUUUCAAAGAGUCGGAUUGUUUGGGAAUGCAGUCCAAAAUGGGUGGUAAAUUUCAUCUAAAGCUAAAUAUUGGCGAGAGACCGAUAGCGAACAAGUACCGUGAGGGAAAGAUGAAAAGAACUUUGAAAAGAGAGUUAAACAGUACGUGAAAUUGUCAAAAGGGAAGCGUUUGACACCAGUGUUGUUUUUCUGAAAAUCAAUUAAAGAACUGUUUAUGCUAAGUUGUUUGGACUUUAUCAGCUAACUGUUUAGUUUUGAGCUUUUCUUUAAUGCACUUUUCAGUUAACAAGUCAACAUCAAUUUCUUUUGCUGUAAAAAAGCUUGAGGAAGGUGGCCUGAGAUUCGUCUUAAGUGUUUAUAGCCUCUUGCCUAUGCAGUCGGAGAGAUUGAGGUCUGCAGCGUAGAUCCUUCGGGGCUAAAUGCAUUUGUGCUAAGUUAUAGCAUUUUAUAGACAACUUGUUGACUAUGAUUUGUCUUGUAGCUUACUCGCUUAUGUUAUUUUACCUACGCUUAGGAUGUUGAAGAUAUGCGCGACAC
rnacentral:rRNA from 1 species